UUCCAGUGGUAAAUCACAGAUGUGCUGCAGACAGCAGAGAUCUGGGAUUCUUUUGAUGUGACAGGAGUGCAAUGGAACAACAUUAUGGUCUGCUAUUAAUUAUGAAGAGGAUCAAAAUCUUAGUCAAAUCUGACUGCAUCCCUAAGAGAUGACAGCGAGUUCAAGGGAGCUUUGGAUGAGCAAUGAGCUUCAACCAGCAUGCUUUUUGCUUGGCAAGUUAAACUAAUCCAGUUCAAGACUAGAGGCAUGUUGGCUUAGAAUUAUGGAUGAAAGCAGUACACAUGUGUCCUCAAAAUAUUUGAUCCUGUAAAAAUGGUGAUACGUAUCAGAGACAGUGGAGAGUGGACUGCAGAAUGUGAA